AAUCCAUAGGUUAAUGAGGCGAACCGGGGGAACUGAAACAUCUAAGUACCCCGAGGAAAAGAAAUCAACCGAGAUUCCCCCAGUAGCGGCGAGCGAACGGGGAGGAGCCCAGAGCCUGAAUCAGCAUGUGUGUUAGUGGAAGCGUCUGGAAAGGCGCGCGAUACAGGGUGACAGCCCCGUACACAAAAGCGCAUGUGCUGUGAGCUCGAUGAGUAGGGCGGGACACGUGGUAUCCUGUCUGAAUAUGGGGGGACCAUCCUCCAAGGCUAAAUACUCCUGACUGACCGAUAGUGAACCAGUACCGUGAGGGAAAGGCGAAAAGAACCCCGGCGAGGGGAGUGAAAAAGAACCUGAAACCGUGUACGUACAAGCAGUGGGAGCCCCACCACCAAAGCAUUUGCUGUACCGCGUUGACGGAGCGAAGCGACGUCAAACCGAUAAAACAGCAGUGUAAAGUGAGCCGCAGGGCGCUUUGCGCGACAGCGCAAAGGCAGGCGGUUUCGCGUAGCGAAAGCGAAUGCUUUGGGUGGGGUGACUGCGUACCUUUUGUAUAAUGGGUCAGCGACUUAUAUUCUGUAGCAAGGUUAACCGAAUAGGGGAGCCGGAGGGAAACCGAGUCUUAAUUGGGCGUUAAGUUGCAGGGUAUAGACCCGAAACCCGGUGAUCUAGCCAUGGGCAGGUUGAAGGGUGGGUAACACUAACUGGAGGACCGAACCGACUAAUGUUGAAAAAUUAGCGGAUGACCUGUGGCUGGGGGUGAAAGGCCAAUCAAACCGGGAGAUAGCUGGUUCUCCCCGAAAGCUAUUUAGGUAGCGCCUCGUGAAUUCAUCUCCGGGGGUAGAGCACUGUUUCGGCUAGGGGGCCAUCCCGGCUUACCAACCCGAUGCAAACUGCGAAUACCGGAGAAUGUUAUCACGGGAGACACACGGCGGGUGCUAACGUCCGUCGUGAAGAGGGAAACAACCCAGACCGCCAGCUAAGGUCCCAAAGUCAUGGUUAAGUGGGAAACGAUGUGGGAAGGCCCAGACAGCCAGGAUGUUGGCUUAGAAGCAGCCAUCAUUUAAAGAAAGCGUAAUAGCUCACUGGUCGAGUCGGCCUGCGCGGAAGAUGUAACGGGGCUAAACCAUG
rnacentral:rRNA from 1 species